UGUAUAUAUGAUAUAUACUCAAGGAAAUGGUAAAGUACCAUUUGACCCGAAAUAAUGAAAUGACUGCAAUCAAAGAGAAUGGUUGACUAUGAAGAAACCAUCUUUGAGAUAGUCUUGGUUUCAAUUAAUUCGAAGAUUGCUAGCUACAACUAAAUGGUGAUUCAAUGUUUGGACAUUAUAUGGGUUUCCGAAACCAUUAUUAAAAUAGUCUUGAUAAUAUAUGUCUAAAACAAUAAAUCACAAGACAUGUAAGUUGUAGAGAUCCAUCCAUCAUGAAUCUUAACAAGCUAGUAGGAGCUAUAAGCAUCUUAUGAGAAAAGGAUCAAAUCGUUUGAUUUCUCAUAAAGAUGUAAAUGAAUCUUUUGUUUACUAGGUUUACAAAAGAUUAGUGGGAGUUAAUCUUGUUCCUAAAAUUUAAAUAUAUAUGAUAUAUUAAUUUUGGAAAUGAAAAGAAUACUUCUUCGUUAAAGUUAUGACUUUAAACAUUCUAUAACGAUAGAAUGUAUAUGGGAGUUAAUCAUGUUCCUAAAAUUUAAAUAUAUAUGAUAUAUUAAUUUUGGAAAUGAAAAGAAUACUUCUUCGUUAAAAUUAUGACUUUAAACAUUCUAUAACGAUAGAAUGUAUAUGGGAGACAUAGUCUAUAUACAUGGGAUGGAAAUCUAUAUUGAUAGAUUUUAGGAUAUAAUUGGAUUAUAUCAAGCCCUAAAUAUAGACAAAAGAUGAUAAGAAGUUUCUCAUAUGAUGAUGAACUUCAAUCAAAAGGACAACUCUAGUGAGACUAAAAAGUUGCUAUUCUCAAAGAGAACGUACUCUUUGACUCCCAAAGAAAUAAAUGCGUAAAUAGAAUCCUUUAUGCGUAAGCAGAAAUGUGAUUUAUGUAUUUCAUAUUGUAUGAAAAACAUUGAUAUGAGUUGUACCUAGAAAGGUACAAGACGAUAUCAGUACAAGCCCAGGAUCAGAACCAUGGCAACUGUCAAGUGAGUCCUUAAGUAUUUAAGAAAUACUAAAGGAUAAAUUCUUCAAAGAUAGAGGAAGAAUUAGAGUAACGUAAUGGAAGCGUAAAUGUAUUAGAUUAUGAAUCUAAUACAUCAUUGGAUGUUUCUUCAUUAUGAAUGAAGAGAUAAACGGAUAUCUCUUUAUUAUGACUAAAGAGAU
rnacentral:lncRNA from 1 species